CUUCUAAGUCCUAUGUCUGGGGCCCUUGACACAAGAAAGAUAUGGAGUGUUUGGAGAGGGUCCAGAGGAGGGCCACAAAGAUGAUCCACGGGUUGGAGCACCUAUCCUAUGAAGGCAGACUGAAGGAACUGGGCUUGUUCAGUCUGGAACAGAGAAGGCUGCAGGGAGACCUCAUUGCAGCCUUCCACAGCAAACAAGAAUGAGAAAACAAACAUUUAGUACAAAAAGGACUGAAGAUAAUUCCUCAGGGUGGAGAAGCAGCUGAAGGGCUGACGCUGGUCCUCCUGUGCCUGCUUAAGAUGGAAGGUGGCUCAUGGGAAUGGUAAUGCAACAACAACAAAACACAAAUACUUUUGUUAAGGUGACUGAUCUUCAUGGUUGAGAAAUAAAUGCUUGGGAAGCCAGCAUUCCCCCUUUGGGAGAGCCAUUAUUUACUGUCAUUUUGAUGACCUUCAUGUGAUGAUUAGAUCAGGAUUGGCAAGCUAUCACAGUAAAUUCAAGUGGAAGAUGGGAUCUGAAGUACUGUGCAAACUUGUGUUGCUACAGAAUCAGAAUCAUUAGAAAGCUAUUUGUUUGUUUGUUGGCUAGUUUGUUUAAUAUUUGGCUUACUAUAACUUAUCUGAUGUAAAUACAGGGGUGUUUUAUGUAUCUGUUUUUAGUAUGAUUUUUUUUUCAUAGUGAAUGUGUCUAAAUAGAAUGUACUUAGGGAAAAACACUUGGACAACACUGUAGUCAGAAAGAGAAGAUAUAUAUCUGGGCACCUUGCAGCUUUCUAUUCUGUUCUAGGCUGUGUACAGACAGUUUAUUCAAGGCUG
ensembl:lncRNA